AUGAACGCUGGCGGCGUGCCUAAUACCUGCAAGUCGCGCGCACAGACGAGGAGCUUGCUCCUCUGACGUUAGCGGCGGACGGGUGAGUAACACGUGGAUAACCUACCUAUAAGACUGGGAUAACUUCGGGAAACCGGAGCUAAUACCGGAUAAUAUAUUGAACCGCAUGGUUCAAUAGUGAAAGACGGUUUUGCUGUCACUUAUAGAUGGAUCCGCGCCGCAUUAGCUAGUUGGUAAGGUAACGGCUUACCAAGGCAACGAUGCGUAGCCGACCUGAGAGGGUGAUCGGCCACACUGGAACUGAGACACGGUCCAGACUCCUACGGGAGGCAGCAGUAGGGAAUCUUCCGCAAUGGGCGAAAGCUUGACGGAGCAACGCCGCGUGAGUGAUGAAGGUCUUCGGAUCGUAAAACUCUGUUAUUAGGGAAGAACAAAUGUGUAAGUAACUAUGCACGUCUUGACGGUACCUAAUCAGAAAGCCACGGCUAACUACGUG
rnacentral:rRNA from 1 species